CACAGGACAACAACCAGAGCAUAAAUGCUUGGUUUCCUAAAAUUAUCACUCCAAUGAUGAAUCCACUGGCUAAUGAAGGUUCCAACGGAUAAAGAGUUUUAUGAGACAGCAAUAGGCAUGAGGUCAGGGGCAGCCCCAGGAGCCAGGACCAGAUGGCAUCACAAAAUUAGGGAAUAAUUAAGAAAGACAUUUUAGAGUUGGUUGCCUCAUUCUUCCAGGAUCAUAUGGAUAUCAUGCAUAUUAAUCAUACAUUUAUUACCCUGAUUCCGAAAGUUCAAAAUCCUAGUGAUAUUUCACAAUUUCGACCCAUUUUCAUGUGUUAACACUACAUAUAAGCUCAUUUCUAAAAUAAUAACCAAUAGAUUAUCUCUAGUACUUCCAGAGAUGAUUUCCCCAAAUUAGUCUGCUUUUGUAAAGGGAAGGAAUAUCUCGGACAACUCAAACCUUGCUGAGGAGUUAUUGAGAUGUUUUGAAAGAGAGUUUAUCAACCUUAUCAUUAAGUGUGUUACAUCAGCUACAUUUUCAAUAUUGGUAGAAAGGCAACCAUCAAAAAAUUCAAGGCAGAGAAGGGCCUAAGGUAGGGAGAGCCACUCUCCCCAAUUUUAUUCAUAAUGGUUAUGGAAGGACUGACAUGAAGAUUUAAGGGGGCAGAACAAAGAGGUGAAAUACAUAGCUACACAAUGUGAGGUGCGAAAUCAGUCUCACAUCUGAUUUUUGCAGAUGAUCUGCUGUGUUUUUGUAAGGCCAACAAGAAGUCCCUAACCACGAUUAAGAGCAUUUUACAAUUUACACCACUUCUCAAUUUUUUCAGGGCUAGCACCUAACACAGAGAAGAGUGCCUUAUACCUCACUCUAGUAGAGCAUAGAGAUGGAAAUCUGAUGGGAAUACUAAGCUACCCUAUUAAGUGGCUACCUAUCAAACAUUUGGGAAUGCCACUAGUAGGCAGGGAACUGAGGUUUGCAAAUUGUUCACUACUGAUUGAUCAAUUAAACAACCACCUGUUGACUUGGUAAAACAAAACCUUAUCCUAUAUAUGGAGGAAGAAUUCAGCUCGCAAAAUGGAUACUAUAUGGCAAACUAAAUUACUGGUUUCAAGGUAAAUUAUUACCAAAAUCAGUACUGGAUAAAGUCAGGCAGAUUGUAUAUCAAUUUAUAUGGUGUGGUGGCAAGGGGGUGAGUUGGAGGCAAAUGGCGAAAGAGAAGGAUGAGGAUGGACUAGGGCUGUGAGGCAUAAGGAAAAUGGCAAUUGAGGCAACAGUUAGGAGAACAGUCAGGCUAUGGACCCAAGAACAGUCUAUUUGGACAGGGUGGAUGCGGCAAAUAUAUGUUAACGGGAAAGCUCUAGAUACUAUUACCCAAACAAGCAAUCAAUCAACUAUAUGGUCGGAUAUAUUAAGAUGCAGGGAGACAACAAAGAAAUAUAUUGAAUGCAAGGAGAAUUACCAAUAUAAAUGGUGUGGAAGUGGUGACAAUCCGAGUGCUAAAAACAUACAUAAAUCCAUAAGCACUCCAGUAGAGAAGGACCCGCUUGCAUAAGGUAUAUGGAGCUGCAAAACAUCCAAGACGAGCAUACUUCUAUGGCGCUUAAUAUGAAAUCGAUUACACACCUUUAAUAGACUACGUGAGUGGGGAUAUAUACCAGUGCCAAAGCAAAUUAAUGUGUAUUGUGCGAUGACAUAGAGGAAGGUCCAGAACACUUGUUCAUCAAUUGCAGGUGGACAAGGAAACUUUGGGAGUCUUUUGUAGAACACACAUGCCAGGCAACGAAGAAAAUCCAGAGACAGGUUGACAUCCAAUCGACCUCCGACAUACGGAUAGGAGACGUCAUUGAAGUGAUCCAAAAAUUCACUAAGCACAACCCGUGCUGGGGUUUACAUUGAACGGCUUUGGCGACGUUCUCUUGGCACGUCUGGGCGGAGAGGAAUGCAAGAUGGAAAGAGGGCAAAUUAUCGGAAACGGAAACGGAAACGUGACCGGAGUAGAGGAAGAAGAAACUCGACUGAAGAUGUGAAGAAUGAUAAACCGUAU
rnacentral:lncRNA from 1 species